GAUGAACGCUGGCGGCGUGCCUAAUACAUGCAAGUCGAGCGAACAGACGAGGAGCUUGCUCCUCUGACGUUAGCGGCGGACGGGUGAGUAACACGUGGAUAACCUACCUAUAAGACUGGGAUAACUUCGGGAAACCGGAGCUAAUACCGGAUAAUAUAUUGAACCGCAUGGUUCAAUAGUGAAAGACGGUUUUGCUGUCACUUAUAGAUGGAUCCGCGCCGCAUUAGCUAGUUGGUAAGGUAACGGCUUACCAAGGCGACGAUGCGUAGCCGACCUGAGAGGGAGAGGCGCAACAGGGAAACGGAGACGGGGCAGAGACACACAGGAGGGGCAACAGGAGGAAAUUCCCCAAAGGGGGAAAAAGCCACAGGGAGAAACGGCGCGAGAGAGAAAAGGGUUUGGAGUGCAAAAAACUCUUAUAAGGGGAAAAAAAAAAUGUAAAUGAAAAUACACACCUGGAGAGGAUAUAAAAAGAAAACCCCAGGGAAAAAUAC
rnacentral:rRNA from 1 species